UUGCACGACUGCGGGGGGGGGAUGAGAACCCCCGACCGGGGUUCGACAACUGGCGCAGCCAGUUGGACAGACUGUGAGCGAAGCGAACAGGCUGCCCGCAGGGCGAGCGAAGCGAGUCAAUCCCCCCCUCACCGCCA
rnacentral:sRNA from 1 species